GAGACCCACGCCAACAGUUGCCAGCUCGUCCUCCGGGAUGGAGGGGACACUGUUGGGACCGCCUCUGCUAAAGAGGAGGAAGGAAUGGGCAACGGUAGGUCAGCAUGCCCCGAAUUAUCCGGGCUACACGCGGGCUACAAUGGGUGGGACAAUGGGUAUCGACACCGAGAGGUGAGGGCAAUCUCCUAAACCCAUCCUUAGUUCGGAUUGUGGGCUGCAACUCGCCCACAUGAAGCUGGAAUCCGUAGUAAUCGUGUCUCAAAAUGGCACGGUGAAUAU
rnacentral:rRNA from 1 species